rnacentral:lncRNA from 1 species
UCUGCCUCGCCUCAUGCCGACCACCGCCAGCCGCUCACAACUCCUCGCCGGGGCAUCUGGACUUCUUCUCCGCACAUGCCCGAACCAACUGAGCCUCGCUUCUCGCAUCUUCUCAUCAACCGGGGCCACCCCCACCUUCUCUCGAAUAACUUCAUUCUUAAUCUUAUCUAACUUGGAGAGCCCGCACAUCCACCUGAGCAUCCUCUUUUUCGCAACCUUCAUUCUCUGAACAUGAGAGUUCUUUACCGGCCAGCAUUCCGCUCGGUACAACAUGUAAGGUCUGAUCACAACUCUAUAACAUUUCCCCUUGGGUUUUGUGGCACUUUCUUGUCACACAGGACUCCUGAUGCAAGCCUCCACUUCGACUACCCCACUCUUAUACGGUGAGUGACAUCCCCGUCAAUCUCUCCGUCCCCCAGAAUCACUGCCCCAAGAUAUCUGAAACUGUCCUUCUUAGCGAUGACUUGGGAUCCAAUCUUCACUUCCCUGCCUCUUCGCUCGACUCAGCGCUAAACUUGCACUCCAGGUAUUCUGUCUUAGAUCUGCUUAUUUUGAAAGCCUUAGACUCGAGAGUCUGUCUCCAUAUCUCUAACCUCUCAUUAACAUCGACCCUCGUCUCGUCUAUCAAGACUAACUCCAGGUAUUCUGUCUUAGAUCUGCUUAUUUUGAAAGCCUUAGACUCGAGAGUCUGUCUCUAUACCUCUAGCCUCUCAUUAACACCAACCCUCAUCUCGUCGAUCAAGACUAUGUCAGCAGCAAAUAGCAUACACCAAGGCACAUCCCCUAGAAUAUGACGGGUUAGAGCAUCCAUCACCAUGGAAAACAAGAGAGGGCUAAGCGCCGAUUCUUGAUGGAGCCUCAUAACCACCGGGAAAUGGUCUGAGUCACUACCCACCGUCCUAACCCUAGUCCUAGCUCCAUCGUACAAGUCCUUGAUUACUCUGAUGUAGGCUUCCGGCACGCUCUUCGCCUGCAGGCACCUCCAUAGCGCCUCCUUUAGGACCUUGUCAUAUGCCUUCUCCAAGUCGACAAACACCAUGUGCAGGUCCUUCUUCUUAUCCCUGAACUGUUUCACCAAUCUCGUGACAAGGUGGAUAGCUUCUGUAGUGGAGCGAACCAACAUGAAGCCGAACUGGUUCAUAGAUAUAGAUGUCAUCUCCCUCACUCUCACCCUCGCCUCCAUAACCCGCUCCCAGACCUUCAUGGUGUGACUUAUUAAUUUGAUACCCCUAUGGUUGUUGCAGCAUUGGAUAUCCUAUUUGUUCUUGUACAAGGGCAUCACUCUACUUCAUCUCCACUCCUGCGGCAUUCUUUUGGUCCUGAAGAUCGAAUUGAACAACCUUGAGAGCCACUCCACUCCUGACCUACCCAUGCAUUUCCAGAACUCCACCGGGAUCUAGUCAGGCCCGGCCACUCGACCCCUACUCAUCCUACGCAAAGCCCCAACGACCUCC